UACGUAGGGGGCUAGCGUUGUCCGGAUUUAUUGGGAGUAAAGAGCGUGUAGGCGGCCAGGUAGGUCUGCUGUGAAAACUCGAGGCUCAACCUCGAGACGUCGGCGGAAACCAUCUGGCUAGAGUCCGGAAGAGGAGAGUGGAAUUCCUGGUGUAGCGGUGAAAUGCGCAGAUAUCAGGAAGAACACCCGUGGCGAAGGCGGCUCUCUGGGACGGUACUGACGCUGAGACGCGAAAGCGUGGGGAGCGAACAGG
rnacentral:rRNA from 1 species